UGUGUAAGCGCCAAUGUAACACCACUUAUUUGUUUUUACGAUACUAACUUGCAUUGCAAGGACAACUACUGGUGGACAGUUUGGCUGGGGUGGCACCCUGCUGAAAAGAUAUGAUUAAGGCUCCUGCCUUAAUCUACUUUACAUCAGCAGGGCCCUAAGGUUGACUCAAUCGGUAUAGAAAUCCGAUGUAGAGUGCAAGGGCAUAAGUCAGCCUGAUUGAACUCCUGAUAAGAAGGAAUCCAAGAAUGAAAGUUUGGCCUAGCGAACUUCUAUGUCCUUAUUGAUGAGGGCUAGGAAUGACCGAAAAGUUACUCCGGGGAUAACUGAGUUGUCGCGCCCGAGAGCUCAUAGCAGAGCUUAGUAACUUUGCAAGCAAAUCGACGGCGCGGCUUGCUACUUCGAUGUCGGCUCUUCCUAUCCUGGCGGUGCAGAAGCUGCCAAGGGUGGGGGUGUUCACCCAUUAAAAGGGAUCGUGAGCUGGGUUCAGAACGCUGUGAGGCAGUUUGUUUAAUAUCUACUGGAGAUGUUUGAUAUCUGAAAGGAAGGAAGCCAUAGUACGAGAGGAACUGGCUUUCGGGGCCACUGGUCUACCUGUUAUCUUACAAGGUAUGCAGGGCAGCUACGCCCCAAGGGAUAAGAGCUGAAAGCAUCUAAGCUCGAAGCCUGCCUUAAAAAGAGAUAUCUUAGAACGCCCAUAGAAGAUGGGUUUGAUAGAACUGAUGUGUACGCAUUAAGGUAACGAGAUGUUCAGCAUGCAGUUACUAAAGUUCAUAUAUAUCUUAUU
rnacentral:rRNA from 1 species